rnacentral:rRNA from 1 species
AACGAACGCUGGCGGCAGGCCUAACACAUGCAAGUCGAGCGCACCUUCGGGUGAGCGGCGGACGGGUUAGUAACGCGUGGGAACGUACCCAGAUCUAAGGAAUAGCCACUGGAAACGGUGAGUAAUACCUUAUACGCCCUUCGGGGGAAAGAUUUAUCGGAUUUGGAUCGGCCCGCGUUAGAUUAGGUAGUUGGUGGGGUAAUGGCCUACCAAGCCUACGAUCUAUAGCUGGUUUUAGAGGAUGAUCAGCAACACUGGGACUGAGACACGGCCCAGACUCCUACGGGAGGCAGCAGUGGGGAAUCUUAGACAAUGGGGGCAACCCUGAUCUAGCCAUGCCGCGUGAGUGAAGAAGGUCUUAGGAUCGUAAAGCUCUUUCGCCAGGGAUGAUAAUGACAGUACCUGGUAAAGAAACCCCGGCUAACUCCG